CUCCUCCAAGGUGGCCCUCAAGUCUGCUGAGGUCUGCUCCUCCUUCUGUAGCGCCUCUUGGAGACUCGCAACUUUGACGAUCUUCUCCUUGAGGCGGGCAGCCUCGACCUGGCGACCUUCCUCCGCCUGGGCGGCCUCCUUCCUAGCAUUGUUCAUCACCUCGAUGUUGGCGAUGAGCUGGUGUCUAAUCUACGAGAGCGGCC
rnacentral:lncRNA from 1 species